UCGAAGCGGUCACAGCGGUGUUUUCUGCCAUCGGACGAGUGUCUGCUCCCGAUGUGGAAACUGGAACGUCGUUCUCCAUCUCCGACUGUUGCCUACUUCCUUGCCUGGUCAAUACCAUUGCCUAUAUAAGUAGCAAAUUAAACGAAAGCGUAAAUUAACACACACCCCCCUCACCAUAAAAUAUGUCGCACACAAUGUGAAAACAAGGUAUAUUCAAAGCGUAUAGAAUUCCAUAUAAAAAAAAAAUAAUAAAAAUAAAAAUUCCAAAAACAAAUCUAAAUAAAAUGAUAAAUAAAUUCAAGCGUAUGUAAAUGACUAAAUUCAAACCCAAUUUAUAAUAAACCCGUCGCCUAACUCUCUCCCUGAGAUUCAGACGGUAAACUAAAUUCAAAAUUCAGGUCCCAAACUAUUAACCUAAUCCUAGAAGUAAUUGCGCUAAAAUCGAACUCAAUCGUAUCGUAUAAAGCGUGAUAUAAAAACGUCCUUGAAAUGUGUAACUAUUUAGAGAUAGGGUUUUCAGGGGACGAUAAGAUGAAAAGUAGGGUAUAUAUUCCAAUAAAACUGACAAAUGCCAGCCUUACUAAAACUUUCUUGAUUCCUUACAGGUUUGUGGGUGCUUCGGAUGAAAUCUAAACUAAUGGAAAGGAAUAUCUCACGCAGACCAUGACCGAAGCGAUGACUGGUGGACACUAGCCGGAGUCUGGGACAGGUGACUAGGAUCACAAACAACCCCCUCGGUCGGACCUAGGCCUUUACCACGCCCGAAAGGACGGCCUCUUCUAGGUACUAAUUUGGAACAAGGAUCCCUAUGGAGACUUCCUACCUGCCUAGAAAGAGCUCUAUCUAUUGGGGAAGGGUAAAUACCAUGUAGUACGGUUGACGGUAUAAUCAAAGAUAAGUACCCUAGAAAAAAAAUGCCUGCCUUUUCAAAAAAAACUAAUUUCCUUUUUUUUUCUUUUAUUUUUAGGUAAUAUGUACGUCCGUCCGUCCGAAGGUUUAGUUUUAAGUAUUAUGUUAAGGGUCUUUGUAAGCCGUCACCUGGAGCACUGCGGUCUGCGAGUGCUUUUGAAGGAAGUCCCACGCUGGUGCAGAGAUGAGCCGUUGGUGAGCAGCGUUUUUUUGUUUUACUUUUAAUUAGUUUAAGCUUUAGCGUAAUGAUUAAGUUGU